rnacentral:rRNA from 1 species
UACGUAGGGUGCGAGCGUUAAUCGGAAUUACUGGGCGUAAAGCGUGCGCAGGCGGUUCGUUAAGUCUGAUGUGAAAGCCCCGGGCUCAACCUGGGAACGGCAUUGGAGACUGGCGGGCUGGAGUGUGGCAGAGGGGGGUGGAAUUCCGCGUGUAGCAGUGAAAUGCGUAGAGAUGCGGAGGAACACCGAUGGCGAAGGCAGCCCCCUGGGCUGACACUGACGCUCAGGCACGAAAGCGUGGGGAGCAAACAGG